CGCGUGAGGAACCUGCCUCAAAGAGGGGGACAACAGGUUGGAAACGACUGCUAAUACCGCAUAAGCCCACGACCCGGCAUCGGGUAGAGGGAAAAGGAGCAAUCCGCUUUGAGAUGGCCUCGCGUCCGAUUAGCUAGUUGGUGAGGUAACGGCCCACCAAGGCGACGAUCGGUAGCCGGACUGAGAGGUUGAACGGCCACAUUGGGACUGAGACACGGCCCAG
rnacentral:rRNA from 1 species